UUUAACAGCAUACGAUUUCAUUGAUUGAUAUCAAUUUCAUAGUCAAAGCAAUUUCUUCUAAUCUGAUCAAAUGAUGCCGUGAUGGCAUUGGCGACAUUUACUGUGUUUGAUUGCAUAUGAGCAUGGACACGUAUAAGGCUCAAAAACGUGGGAACUCAGCACAGGCUUUCGACUGAGGAAAAAUGCAUUAAGUAAAGGCCUUUGCUCUCCAACAAGUGCAACAUCCGGAUCAUCUGCAAGCAGGUCUCCUAUUAUUUAUUUCCUCCAGAGUUUUUGUCAUCGUCUCAUCGUGUGAUGAAUGUAGUGACCAUUUCCCUAUAACAAUACAACAAAAUCAUCUCAGGACAGUCAUUCUAAUUAAAAAGUUCAUUUAUGAGUUAUGACCCUCUACCCUUUGAGGUUCCAUGUCAUCCAAACGCUGGUAAACUUCUUGCAUCCAAUCUCAAAUACAAAAGCUAAACAUGUUGUGAUAACUCACCUAUUUUCACGUGCUGGAUAACUUAUAAAAUCUUUUCAGUGUAACUGACCAUUAUGUGCCUUUAAUAUAAACCUGGUUGACAAAAAAACCUUUGCUGAUUCAGAUAUAAGACGUCCCAUCGGACGUUUCGGGUCAUCCUUACAAUGGUCACAUCUUCACAUCUAAUGGAAAUGCUAUUCCAGGAUAUAAACAAAUGAAAAUGUUUAGUUUUUAUUUUAUAAUCGUGAUUUUCCUAUAUUGUGCCGCUAUUUAAUAUUGGUCAGAUAUACAAAAACAUCUAUUAAAACUGAAAAAUAAUUUCGAAAUAUAAUAUUUUCAUAUCUUUAAUAUUUACUGGAUCAAAAUUUAAAUUAUUAUCUUUCUUCAUUAUUAUUUUAUUAAUAAAUUAUUAUGUUUAACAAAGUUGGAUUAAUGUCAUAAAGUUCGGAUUGGAAGUGAUAUUUAUCUAAUUAGUAUAUUUUUUUUAUGACGAGAAUUUUUUUCCGAUAAAGUUAUUUUAUAUACAAUUUUAAUUUGUUAAUAAACUAUUGUACUAAGCUUUGAAUACAAUUUCGUGAAAAUAAUCAUGUAAUUCUUUUGCAUCUACAGGUGUGAGAUCAUUUGACAUUAGCGUCAUGUUCUUUAAUAAAUCUUCAUUUUUAUGUACUGAAUUUUUCAAACAAUUAUUUUCUAACAAAUUUAACUUGUGAAAAGUAUUAUUAUAUUCUUUUAAUAAAGUUUUUUGUCUUUCAUUAUAAAUAUUCUAAUUUUUUAUGAAAAUUUAAAUUAUAUUGAGAAAAAUAUAUUAAUAAUUAUGUGUAAAUACUGAUUAAUAUUAAUAUUUAAUUGGGCCCAAAUGGCCCAAACGGAAAAAUGUGGAAUAAGACCAAAUAUAAAACUCAGCCCAAAUGAAAAAGAUUUGUACCCACAAAACUUGUGAUCUUUGACCAUCCACGUUAAAAAAAAAAACAAAGGAAAUGUUUCUUUUUUGUCUCGACGACCUGAUGAGAAAUGACGAUUGAGAUGGCAAUUUGAAGCUCCAUAGUGGUAAUGACGGAAUAAAGGUUGCUUGAAGAGGUGAACAUGUUCUGUAGCAAAUCAAAGAACAACCGAGUAAUCUGAUGUGGAUCAAAGUCAAACCGAUUCAGCACACAGAAAAUUCACCAAGUGCUUCAACAUUUUCCGAUCUAUUUUGGUGAUAUGCCUCUAACUUUUUCUUUUAGAUUAUAUUAGAUUCUUUACACAUCUGGAAUAUCGAUCAAGAUCUAAAAAAAAUUUUCUUAACUAUUUUGCAUGUCAGAUUCUAAGGCAUCUUUGAGAAGAACCAUGAUUUUGAGAUGAUUAUCGAUAUUUGAAAGACAACAAAACGGACAUAUAAUAUCACUUCAUCAACUUAUACAUAGUUAACCUAAUACUAUAUAUACACCACGAUCUCAAGGUUGUCUCCGUGCACUGCGUUGUACUGCUUCCAAGUGUGCAACACUUUCACAUGCACUUUCCAACCACUCUUGAAAGGUUUCACAUCUUUCAAAGAAGUGGCUAGCAUAGUUGAAGACAUUUUAGGGUUUUUUUUUUGCUAUGAAAAGAUGUGAGAAAAAUUGGAGGGUGUUCGGGGUGUAUAUCUAGUAUUCGGUUAACGUGAUGGUCACUGCAGGUCGCCACAAAAAUAUCUUGCAUAUUUGGUUUCAGUUAAGGAAAUCCUUAGAGUACUGAUCAAGCAAAAAAUAUUUUACAAUUAUUGUUAGCAAGAUUUUGCUGUUCUGUUGGAGUAAAUUAUCUACACGAUAUCUUAGAUGUGAAGAGGAUACUAUUUUUUAUAAUAUACGCACCCUUGAUGGCCAAGUUGUUCGAUAUGCUACAUUAAAACAUAAUUCUUUCCCAAGUUAUUUAGUACCUCAGUUAACUCAUUUUUGUGCUUUUAAAAAUUAGCUAAAUAUUUUUCCAUGAAAACUAACUCGUUUUUGUUCACAUUAUUUUAACAAUAAUUUAAGAAAUAACAUAUAAACUCUUAGGGUGUGACUGGUGACCAAGGGAACGAGGAGGAACACUAUGUUCCUUAAUAUUCCUUAAUUUUUUUACCAUUCAUAAGGAAUGAAUUUUCUUUUUCAUUCCCCUUCAUUCCUUUGUUCGUAGAGAAUUAUAGAACAAAUCUAUUCCUCAUUAAUUUUGACAAGGAACCAUCAUUCCUAAAAUUUUAUUCCUACUCAUACUUUUUCUAUCCGUUCCUAUUGUUCCUAUGAUGGUUACCAGUCACACCCUUAGUGACUGCUUUAUGGAAAAAUAUUUAUUGCCAAUGUUACAAAGAUUAUAACUGAAAGAACAGAAUCCAAAUUAAAAAUAUUAUUUAAUAUGCAAGAGAUCGAUUGUAAAACAGUUCGUAACAAAAUAUGGAAUAUAUCCUUGGAUAUUUGUAUUUUUUUUAUAUUCACGUUUUGUAACAAAUUUGAGUAUACUUGGAUUGUAUUUUGAAAAUUAUUAAUUAGAAAAUGAUAUAAUCCAGUUUAGGGUUUAAGUAGAGUAUUAGGAAGCAAACCCCAAACUAUAUUUAUGGUAUUAUUCUGGUUUAGGUAUAGUAAUCAAAUUUUUUUUGAAGACAUGAGUUGACACAUCUCAUUUGUUUAGAACAGUGGACCUACGUGAAAAGUCAUAAAAAUAUUGAAUAGAACCAUGGGCUUAUUAAUAUGACAAAAAUUCUACAUGAGCUCAAUUAAAUUGUGUAAAUCGGGUAGGUUUUUUAAUAAGACAAAAAAUCCAUAAAAGCCCAUUUAAAGUGUAAAAAUCAGAUUUAAUACAAUUUACGGGAGUACCCUUAGUGAAAACGAUUUGUGUAGAAAAACAGUGGCAUAGAUAGUAAAUAAAAGAGGGCUUCUACACCCAGGUCUGGGGUUCAAAUUCCAGAUUAUGCAAUUUCUUGCAGAUUGCAUAGGAAAUCCAGGUUUCAAUUCUCGGAGCAAGCGAUUUAUUCAACAAUUAUGCAAUUACGGAAGAAAGGCUUACAAGAGUUUCUCAACAUGGUGCAAGUAAAUCCGGUCAGGCGUGAUCUUCAUAGGACGGCUCAAAUGAUGCAGUUAGGCGUAGAUCCUCAUAAGGCAGGUAGUAUUGUCGGUUAUCGAAUCGUCUUUGUAAUCUUUCUCAUAAUUGUAAUAUCUAAAUAAAUCCCCGACAAAAAAAAAAGAUAGUAAAUAAAAGAGUAUUAAUGAAGAAAACUUAGAUAGGAGCAUGCUUUAAUAAUAUAAAUUAAUUAAUUUGUUCCCUUAAGAAAAUUAUUAAAUGUUUUGGAGGAGAAAACUUUUAAUAUAAAUAUGAUUCAUCAAAUCCGAUAUUUCCAUCAUGUUUUUAUAAAAAAGAUCUGCAUUGGAGAUAGAAAAUUAAGUGUAAUACUUACCAUUUCUUAAUAAGAAUUAUAAAACUAAACAUUAUUAAAUUAAACAAUCAAUUAUUAUUUUUACAUAUAAGCUUCUAACUGGUAACCAUUAAAAUAGGAAUAAGAAUGAGUAGAAAAUAAAUGAAUAGAAACAAAAUAAAAGGAAUGAAAAUGAAUAUUUAUUCUUUUUGUUCCAUAUCAAUUUUGAUAAGGAAUUUUAUUUUUCUAUAGUUUCUUAAAAUUCAAGAAAUGAAAAGGAAUCAAACGCAGCGAAAAUUAUCCAUAAAUAGUGUAAUUUUUAAAGAAUGAUAGGAAUUGACUAUUCUCCUUAAUUUCCUAUGUCACCAUUUGGACCCAUAGAAUUGAAUUUUAAGUUUUAUGUUUAACUUUGGGUUAUUCUAUUAUCUCUAUUGACAAGUGGUUUUGGAAAGUAUGACUUCCUGAUGUAAUGACAUUGCAAAAGCCUUUGAUUAUGUUCAUUGGCCAUUUCUCCUAAACACCUUGAGAGCCUUUGACAUGCCGGAGCCAUUCAUCCAAUGGAUUGAGUUGUGUGUGUGCACGCCGUCCUUUUCAGUUCAGAUCAAUGGAGAGUUGGCUGGGUUUUUUCAAAGCAAAAGAGGGCUGAGGCAAGGAUGUGCACUCUCGCUUUACUUUUGUCAUAUGCAUGAACGUGCUAUCUCACAUGCUAGACAAGGAUGCAGUUAGGAAAGAGAUAGGCUAUCAUCCUCGAUGCCAGAAUAUCCUCUUGAUUCAUCUAUGCUUUGCGGAUGAUCUGUUUGUCUUCACCGAUGGUAUGAAAAGUUCUAUUGAAGGUAUUCUCAGGAUCUUUAAAGCCUUUGCAGCGAUGUCAGGGCUUAAAAUAAGCUUGGAAAAGUCAACCCUCUACAUGGCUGGUACAACUGGAGAUCAGGAAUCAGAAAUCCAUUCAUCUUUCCCCUUUGCUUCAGGUCAACUGUCGGUACGCUACUUAGGUCUUCCUCUACUCACCAAGAGGAUGACUGUAAAUGACUACAUGCCUCUAGUGAAAAAGAUCAGGAAAAGAAUGAGUUCAUGGACUGGUUGAUUCCUCUCUCACGCUGGUCGGCUUCAACUGAUCAAUUCAGUCAUUAUGAGUCUCGCAAAUUUCUGGCUAGCGACUUUUAGAUUACCAAGUAGUUGUCUAAAAGAGUUUGAGCGUCUCUGUGCAGCUUUCUUAUGGUCAGGACCGUAUCUAAAAAAAACCAAAAGCAAAGAUUAGCUGGCAAGAUAAAUGUCUUCAAAAGAAUGAGGGUGGAUUGGGCAUAAAGUCUUUGAAGGAAAUAAAUAAGGUUCACUGCUUGAAGCUUAUUUGGAGAAUAGUAAUCGCGAUCCUCCUUGUGGGUCAAAUGGAUCCAUUGCUAUCUGAUAAAGAAGGGGUCUUUUUGGUCGAUCUCAGUCAACACAAACUUGGGGUCGUGAAUGUGAAAACAAAAUAUUGAAAAUGAGGAGUAUCGCAAGGCAGUUUAUACAAGUUGAGGUCAGGAAUGGAAGGCACACUUCAUUCUUGUAUGAAGCAUGGUCUCAGAUUGGGUGUCUUAAGGAGGUGGUAGGUGAUCAUGGCAUCAUAGCUCUGGGCAUAGCAAACAAUGCUACAAUGGCAGAUGUUAUAUCAAAUCAUCGAAGGCAGAGGCACAUACAGAGUAUUCUCAAUGACAUAGAAGAUGAGAUCGAUAAGGUUUAGAAGAUACAAAUGACGUUCAGGUUUGGAAGUGGGGAGAAGGGAAGUUCGUGAGUAAGUUUUCUUUUAAGAAGACUUGGCAAUAGCUGCGGAGUGGGCAUCAAACCUAUAACUGGAGUAAAGGAAUACGGUUCCCUCAGUCUACUCCAAAGUUCUCUUUCAUAUUAUGGAUUGCGAUGAGAAAUAGACUACAAACGGGUGAUAAAAUGCAAGCUUGGAAUGUCUCUGUGAACACAGACUGUGUUCUAUGUCGGGGAGUUCAGAAGACAUGUCAACAUCUCUUCUUUCAAUCCCCUACUCUUCUGAAGUCUGGGAAUCUUUGGUUAAAGGGCUUCUUAAAGAUGAUUUUACCACUGACUAGGAUUCUAUUGGGGAAAUGGUUUCUGGUAGGAGUUACCCUCCAACAGAAAUGUUUCUUAUCCGAUACUCUCUUCAGGUUGCAGUUCAUAGUAUCUGGAGAAAGCGAAACGCUAGAAGAUAUGGAGAAGAGCCAAAAGUUGUUGUCCUUCUGAGUAAGCUUAUCGACAAAACGAUAAGGCUUCAUCUUCUUGCUGUCAAAGCCACGGGUCAUGCGUAUUUGGAAAGGAGUUUACGCACCUGGUUUGAAACAAGUCAAGCUCCAAAUCUAACAUAGAAGACUAGAAGAUUUCUUUUAUUCUUUAGACGAUUGAGUAUAUAAAUAAACAGAAGCACUAGAUGUAACACAGUUUUUUGCUAGAAUAUAAUUUUACAUUCAUUUAUAAAAAAAAUGUUAUUAAAAAUCCUAGUACAUCUGUAAGCAAAAUGCAUAUCUCCCCCAGUCCCCUGUUAUUAAAAUCUCCGAGUGAAUUGGCCCCAAACUCUGAUCUUUUCAAACUGAUUUAGAAAAUUUGUUUUUAACUUCCAUUAACAAAACAUUAACUCUUCCGCUGAUUCUAAUUGAAAAAAAAAAAAAAAUUUGUAACACAUCUUAUUGAAAUAAACAAUAAAUAUCUAUCUUAUUAAAACUGAAGUACAAAAUGAGAUUGUUUGGAAACAUGUAUAUGAGUUUAAAAAAUAAGAGUGUUUGGUAACAUGGAUUGUAGUCUUUUAAAAAAAUAUUACUUUUGUUUGGAAAUAAAGAUAGUAGUAUUUAGCAAAAAAGUAAUGGGCUUAUGUUAUUAAGAAAAAUUGAAAGUCCAUCAUAUUAUAAGAAAUUAACUAUUUGGGUCAGUUUUAAAAUGAGUCAAAUCAUUUAAACUUUUUUUUCAAAACUAACCAUAAAACAAAAUUUAAACUUUAUAUACAUAUUUCAAAUCAAAAUAAUAAUUCAAAAUUGAUUUACAUCAUAAAUUAAUUGAAAAAUAUACAUAUAUUCAAAAAUGAAUUUUUACUAAACUCUUUUUCAAUAACCAUUACUUUUGUUUGAAAACAAGGAUAGUAUUAUUAAGCAAAAAAGUAAUGGGCUUCUGUUAUUAAGAAAAAUUGAAAGUCCAUCAUAUUAUAAGAAACUAUCUAUUUGAGCCAGUUUUAAAAUGAGUCAAUCUAAUUGUCUAAAACUUUUUUUUCUAAACUAACCAUAAAACAAAAUUUAAACUUUAUAUAUAUAUAUUUCAAAUCAAAAUAAUAAUUCAAAAUUGAUUUAUAUCAUAAAUUGAUUGAAAAUAUACAUAUAUUCAAAAAUGGAUUUUUACUAAACUAUUUUUCAAUAACCAUUAUAAAAAAUGUUGUCAACAUAUAUAUAAGAAAAAUACAAUAC